rnacentral:lncRNA from 1 species
CACAGCCUUCAGCUUUUAGGCAGGUUUUCCUUUGUUUUGGUUGAUGCUUGACAUUUAAUUGGAAAUUCCUUCUAGGGAAUGGAUGGCAGAGCCAAAGGAGGUCCUUGGGAAAAAGAAAAUCUAACCUUUCCAGUAAGGUCUUCUGCUGAAAGAUUUUGUGAGAUAGCAUAAAACAGUGCAUGAACAAGAAAAGCCUCACUACAAAGCAGCUCAGUGCUACUGAUCAUUGAAUUUAGGAGCCCUCUGGAAUCUGUGGUGAAAGGAAGAAUGCAUGUAGGAGUGCUGUUUGGGAACACUUGGAAAGUAAGAAUAGCAAUGAUCUUUCUACUCCGGAAGCUGUGUGUUGUCAAGACUGUCUGCAAGAAAGAGGAAGAAGGACCUACCUCAUGUAAACAAGAUGCAUCUGCAAAGCAAAGGCGAAAACCUGCCUAUCUCAGUCUUUUUGUGAAACUUGGUUGUCACCUGGGGAGAAGUUCAUAAACUGAAUGUUCCGGAGUAUGAACAACAGCUGUGUGGUAAGUUUAUCCUGGCUAAGUGACCAACCAUCUUUGGCCAUCAGUCGAUUGGAGCACUACAGAGGAUAACAGAGAGGCUAUUCUAGGCCCAAGCAGUGGCCAAGAUGUGUGUGGGGGAGAUGUCACAGAGGCAGUUGGACACUGUGCAGAGGACAGAGAGUGGCACUAGUGUUGUUCUGUCCUUCCUAUCACCAGCAGUGAAUUAGGCACCCCUUUGCCAGGUGUGUUGAUGAGAACAAGGUGCAGACAAACAAAAGUGACACCCAGCAAAAAUCCAGCAGAUAGAGGUGGAAAUCCUUUUGCACAGGUCAGACAUGCAAAGGUUUUUCUCGGGGCUUCAUAUUAUACACAGUAUCCUGCAGGGGAGGGCUUUUUCUUUUAGAUCUGCAGUAUAGAUUACAGCAAGUUGUAAAUAUACUUGCAGACGCUUUGUUGAUCUGUAAUUGUUAUCGUUCAGACCACUGCUAAAAGCAUUAAAUGUCAUAGCCAAUGAUGAGAAGGGAAGGUCCCACACAGUCACGCCCACUCAGCAGUGACAUCCCUGCACUACUGUGUUGUGAGACUUACAGACAUCUGUUUGUCAAUUCUAGAUUGGCCUAAUUUUUAACAAUACCAUGUUUUAGAAAGUUAGAAACUUUAGGAAUAACCUUUCACACUCUAAUUUGUAAUAUUUCUCUUUAAAGUUAGAUUUGAGAAGUCAUUUUCGUGAAGCCAUAUUCAUCGUCUAUUGUAAAUACCCCCUUUUACUUUUUUAAUUAUUUUAAUUCUGCGUUUGUGGCAGUGGCAGUUAGAAUGUGUUUACCUGACAAGUUUGUAAGAGGCUACUUUAUCCAGUACAUGCUUGGCAUUUUAGUAAGCCAUCUUUCUUCCUGUUUUGUAAAAUCCUCUUAAUCACUUCAAAGAGCUAAUGAAAAGAAGCAUUAAUUGCUCUGGACACAGUUCAGCCUAUUGUCUUGGACUACCUGGAUGGAUGUGGGCUAUCCAGAACUGCUGCACUCCAUGUGCCUAACUGUACUGCCUGUUCUUUCAGUCUCCCGCUGUGGAGAUGAAAUAGCCCAAAUCCAUUUUGCAAUGCUUUGAAUUCCCACGUGGCUCUUUUCUGAUAUAGAAAACACACGUGUUAAAUAUGUUUGCAUUUGGUGCAUUGUUUUUGACAAUUAUAUAUAAGAGCAUAUAUUUCCGUAUAGUAGUAUGCUGGUCUCAAAAGUACAUUUCCUUUUUAUCCUAAGGUAUUCUUAAAAACAUGUGUUAACUUCACUCUGGUUGUAUAUUUCCACUUGUUUUCAUGCGUUCUUCAGUUCACUGAUAUUUAAUGCUCAUUCCUUCAUUGUGACAUAGUGUUUCUGGUGUAAGUUAAAAAAAAAAAAAAAAAAAAAAGGUACAACUGUACUCUCAGGAGUUGUUUGUUAGUUGUGCUGAGUAACUGAUCCAGGAGAGAAAGAAUUUGCUGUGAGGACAGGUUUCCUGGUCCUGCCUAGCAGUGACACCUAAUUAUGCUGCAUGUGCCCGGCCCAGGAGCCAGGAGAAAAGAGCUGGAAGCCAUGGCUGACCCAUCUGGGAGAGGUAAGUACCUGCUUGGGAAAAUCUGUCUUGAGGGGAACCCCACAGAUUGCUAUCAGCCACAGCCUGCAUGCAAAGAAGCUGUGUGUUGGUCAGAAAAAGUGAAAUUCUAACACUGGAAGAACUGGUAAAUUCAGUCGUGGAAAAACUGCCCUCUAGAGGUGCUUCUCCUUCCUGCUCGCUGGAGGGGCAGCUUGCCUGGCUGAUACAGGUGCUGAAGCUCGUGGGACUCUGAUUUGACAACACGCAAUGCAUCUACAUUUUAGUCUGUAAGUAGUAGCCUUAUGAGACCUGCUUCCAGAAUAUUUUUCUGAUGGGAAAUAUCUGAUCUCUCAUAAUUCGCAAGCUCAUCUUGAAACUUUUCUUCUGGUGAGCUAAGAGUAGGGCUUCUCUUCCGUGCAGCCAUUAGGUUUCCUUAUUGCUGCCAGUACAGACAUAUGUCGAUUAAGGAGCUAAGAAGGAGAAGAGGAAGGACCCCUGCUUUCUGCCUGCCCCUGUACACAUGUCAUGUGGGUCUGAGUUUCUGACAAGUACAGUGAUUGUUUUUCACAGUAAUACAGUGGGAAGAUGUCAUUUGUAUCUGGGUAAGUUUAGACUGUGUUAUCAGAGUGGUUCAGAUUCUGGAGGAAUCUGUUUUCUCAUGGGAAACAAGUUGAUGUAAGGUUAUCAGGAACCCUUGUAUGCAAUGUCACUUAGGGCACACCAGUCUUCACGAACUGUGGACUAGCUACUGAGCAGUUGCUGUGUUAAGGCACAGUAGGGCAGAGCUCAGCCUUGGCUAAUGGCCUGAGAACUGAUCCAGGAUCUCUGGUGGAUUUGCAGCUCUUGGUGUGGAGACAGCGUUCCUCUGUCUGCGCUUCUGAUAUAUUUGAUGUUUUCUUUCUGACAUGCGGUAUGUCCACUCCAGCUGCAAUUUGAGCUGUGGGUGGUGCCUUGCAGAUGAAAUGUAGAGCUUAUUUCCAGAACAAAUCAUGGAGAACAAUGUAUCUCCAAAACUGUUUAAAUCAAGCAAAUUAAUGGAGGGAAAAAUCUGUCAGCAUCUAUUACACAUGAUAGUGUUGAUACAAACUCCUGUCUCGAGAAAUCCUUCUGCCGCUCAUAAGAAAGCUGGAAGGGUAUAGGAAGAAAAUUAUCUCUGUCCCCCUUCUUUCUUAAGGAUUUGCUUAAGAUGGAAG